GGCGGAAUUGGCGUAGUAAGGGUUGCCCUGGGAGUCCAGGUGGUUGAAGAAGACGUCGACUUCAUCCGGAGAGGAUUUCUGCGGGGUAUGCACCCCACCGUGGGAACCCUCGGUCCCAGUCUCGCUCCCGACACCCUCCCGCACACGCCUUCACCUGCGCUUUAUCUGCAAUUUGUCUGGUGCCCGCAGCCCCCUGGCUCGCUAGGCUGCAAAAUAAAUGGGAGGAAAAGCCUCAAGCAGACCCCAGCCUGCCCACAAAACCGCCUUUUGUGUAAGUUCCCGAAGAGAAAUGCGUGCGUGGGGAAGGGAGAGGUUACACACGAGCAGCUUAAUCCAGAAAAAGCCUGAGCACCCCAAAGCAAAAGAAGAAUAAAGAGGGGAACUUUGCACAUACAAAAACAGAAGAAAAAAAAAAGGCGAAGGGGUGAAAGAGUCGGCGGAGAGGAGCGGCCGUGUCCCCGAUGUGCCUGGCCUUUCGGGCUAUGCACCUGCACCUAAGUGAGGCAGCGGAGAAGCUGGAAGAGGCACAAGCAGAUAUUACGCGACGAGUCGUUGUUAUAGCUAGGAAAGAGACGGAAGAGGGAGACGCUGCGGCAGCCGCGUCCUGGGAUCGCCCCGCACGGAACGACUCCAAAACGAGGAAUUGUCACUCAGGCGGAAAAAC